GGGCAGACCAAAGACCACGGGGUUUGCACUGAGCCCUGGCUGCAGGAGGCAUGAACAAGAUUCUGGGAGCAUCAGUUCUAAUUCUCGUCCUUCAGAGGGCAUGGGUGAGCAGCCAACAGAAGGAUAAAAGUGACCAACAACAGGUGAAACAAAAUCCUUCAUAUUUGACAGUCCAGGAAGGAGAGACUUCAAUUCUGAACUGCACAUAUGAGAACAGUGCAUUUGACUACUUCCUGUGGUACCGGCAGCUCCCUGGUAAAGGUCUUGAACUGCUGAUCACCAUACGAUUAAUUUCAAAUGAGAAGGAAGAUGGAAGAUUCAAAGUACUGCUCAAGAAGAGUGACAAAGAGCUUUCUUUGCAUAUCAGGACUUCUCAGGUUGGAGACUCAGCCACCUACUUCUGCGCAGCAAGAGCACAGUGCUCCUCAGACAGCUGCAGCCUGUGCACAAACCUGCCCUUGUUGCUGUAG